GGUUUCCCUUUACGAAUUGUAGUUUAAAGAAGUGUUUUCUGUUGAGGUUUUGGUAAAAGUUCUUUGGAAUAGGACAUCAUAGAGGGGGGAGAAUCCCGUAUUUGACCUUUACUUUCAACUUUGUGAUACACUUUCAAAGAGUCGGAUUGUUUGGGAAUGCAGUCCAAAAUGGGUGGUAAAUUUCAUCUAAAGCUAAAUAUUGGCGAGAGACCGAUAGCGAACAAGUACCGUGAGGGAAAGAUGAAAAGAACUUUGAAAAGAGAGUUAAACAGUACGUGAAAUUGUCAAAAGGGAAGCGUUUGACACCAGUGUUGUUUUUCUGAAAAUCAAUUAAAGAACUGUUUAUGCUAAGUUGUUUAGACUUUAUCAGCUAACUGUUUAGUUUUGAGCUUUUCUUU
rnacentral:rRNA from 1 species